rnacentral:rRNA from 1 species
UACAGAGGUCCCAAGCGUUGUUCGGAUUCACUGGGCGUAAAGGGUGCGUAGGCGGUCGGGUAAGUCUGAUGUGAAAUCUCACAGCUUAACUGUGAAACUGCAUUGGAUACUAUCCGGCUCGAGGAAUGGAGGCGAGACUGGAAUACUUGGUGUAGCAGUGAAAUGCGUAGAUAUCAAGUGGAACACCAGUGGCGAAGGCGAGUCUCUGGACAUUUCCUGACGCUGAGGCACGAAAGCGUGGGGAGCGAACAGG